UGGAUCUACUCACAUGUCCCUGUACUCUGGAAUAGGGGAGACUCAGAAAACAUGGGCCAAACCUUAAGCUCUGAUGCCAUUGCUUUCAUUAUAUGUGUGAAGGAAAUGUUGCAUAUGUUUUUCAAUUACUUGAACAAUAACAAAACUGUGUGAUAGGAGUGUUGAAACAUAUAUUAGGCUAUAAAAGACAUAUAUAUGUUCAUUGGUUAUGCUAUAGUAAGCUCAUUUUGCACAUCGGAAAGUUCGAAGCAAAAUGCAAUUAAUAAACUUAAACAUGAAAUGUAGCCUACAUAUAUUGAGUAAUAAAAAAAAACAAAAACAAAAAUGAAUCAGUGAUAUUCACUUUAAAAACAAGGAGCUGUUUUACAAAAAUAAAUACUAUUAAAUAAAAUGUCAUAUUGACAAAUGUUGUUAUAGUCUCUAAAAUACUGACGAAUAAAUUUCCACUGCUUUCUGCAUGUUACAUCGUUACGCCAAUAGGUGGUGACAAGUGUCUUUCAGAGUGAAUGAAUCGUUUACUUUACCGAUUCGAAACAACAAGUAUGGGUGAGUCAUUGAACCAUUCACUCAAACUAUUCGUUCAAAAUCACUGAUUCACUCAGAAACUAAACAAAUUACUGCAUUUAUGAGUGAGGCAUUAAAUUAUUCACUUUACAGAUUGGUUAAAAUACUGAAUUAUUCAGGAACGAUACAAGUGAGUCGAGUUUGUGUGUUUGUGAGUGAGCCAUUCCCUCAAACGAUUCGUUUGAUUCAUGCAUUUUGCUCGGAGACUCACAGCGUUUGGAACUAUUUUCGAUGGUGGAACCAGACAAUAUCGUGUCUAAAAUCAACAGGACAUGACUUGGCGACAUAUAGACGAGAGACUAUUGAGUUGCUAGACUACUUGUGCUGUAACCUGGGAAAUCAGACAGAGAGCAAUGCUCAGCAGUUCAUCUGGAAUCUUAAACACAUUGCAAAGAUUUGCUGUCAUACUUGGGGAAAAUGAAUUAUGUUGACAUAUGGCUGAAAACAAUGGUGGAAAGGCAUGCAACGUAAGGCAAUGAAGAAUCAUGCGGUGUUGUGGAGGAGAGGAUCUGGAGCUGUUCCUUUGAGCCCUCUAUGACAGGUAUACAGAGCCACCUGACAGCACAGUAUUUCAGUGAUAAAUGCAGUGGGUCUGGGACUUCCAUUCACUAAACUCAGGAGUGUGCUGGGCUGAUACUUCAAGGUCAAGUGAAUAUGAAAGAGCCGAGCCACACAGCUUGCUAAAAAGAACGAGAGAGCGAGCGUCUCUUGUCUCCUUCUUAACUUCGACGACUUCUAAAUGUUAUGUUGCUUAAAUUCAUGUGACGUGCUUUAUAAGCACAGAUGUUGUGUUACAGCAUCGUUCUGUGGUUAUUAGAUGUUUGUGAUUUUAAAAAUCCAUAAUCUGUCAGCCGCACAUGCUAUAUUCAAUCCAGUUCAUUUACACACUGAUAAUAAAAAUGACAACGACUGUAUAAAAAUGAUGGUAAAACUCUGCGUGAUACACACACACAAACAUGCACUCAGUCGCAGCCAAAACAAUUGAAUUACAGGGCUUGUGGCAUGUUGUCUUACUCUGUGAUAUGUGUGAAAUGGUUAAUUAAAGGUGAGCUCAUUAUUCUUGCUCAGGAUCCAGUAACUGUGUUAACAUGAUCCAUGACUAAUAUAUCACCCACUUAUUGCACCCGAAGAAUUGAAUCAAUUGCUCUGAACACCAAUUCAUACACAAGAGUUGAAGUAAAUAUGCCACUAUAAAUUCUACUGUUUGAUCUGUAUUGUUCAGGACGAUAUGUGUAAAUCAGAAGCCAGUGUUUGUGUAUUAAAUGGGGUACUUAUAUCAAACUAUAAUAGAACAACAUCAUGUUGUGUAUUUAGCUGAAAUCGCCUAAUAUCAUGUUUAAUUACUGGACAUGAUGGGGGAUGUAUCUCAAAUGUUGCUAUAAUGUUUCCAUAUUUAUCUGUUAUGAAUUAAAGUACUUUAGAAUUUAAGAAUUUGAAUGCAAACUUGU